rnacentral:rRNA from 1 species
AGGACGAACGCUGGCGGCGUGCUUAACACAUGCAAGUCGAGCGGUAAGGCCCUUUCGGGGGUACACGAGCGGCGAACGGGUGAGUAACACGUGGGUGACCUGCCCUUAGCUCUGGGAUAAGCCUGGGAAACUGGGUCUAAUACCGGAUAUGACCUCGCGAUGCAUGUCGUGGGGUGGAAAGCCUUGUGCGGCUAGGGAUGGGCCCGCGGCCUAUCAGCUUGUUGGUGGGGUGAUGGCCUACCAAGGCGACGACGGGUAGCCGGCCUGAGAGGGCGACCGGCCACACUGGGACUGAGACACGGCCCAGACUCCUACGGGAGGCAGCAGUGGGGAAUCUUGCGCAAUGGGCGAAAGCCUGACGCAGCGACGCCGCGUGAGGGAUGACGGCCUUCGGGUUGUAAACCUCUUUCAGCCCUGACGAAGCGAAGUGACGGUAGGGCAGAAGAGCACCGGCCAACUACGCGCCAGCAGCCGCGGUAA